rnacentral:rRNA from 1 species
AGAGUUUGAUUAUGGCUCAGGAUGAACGUUAGCGAUAGGCCUAACACAUGCAAGUCGAGGGGCAGCACAUGAAGUAGCAAUACGGAUGGUGGCGACCGGCGCACGGGUGAGUAACGCGUAUGCAACCUGCCUACAACAGGGGAAUAACCCGUUGAAAGACGGACUAAUACCCCAUAACACAGGGAUCCCGCAUGGGAAUAUUUGUUAAAGAUUUAUCGGUUGUAGAUGGGCAUGCGUUCCAUUAGCUUGUUGGUGAGGUAACGGCUCACCAAGGCAACGAUGGAUAGGGGAACUGAGAGGUUUAUCCCCCACACUGGUACUGAGACACGGACCAGACUCCUACGGGAGGCAGCAGUGAGGAAUAUUGGUCAAUGGACGCAAGUCUGAACCAGCCACGUCGCGUGAAGGAAGACGGCCCUACGGGUUGUAAACUUCUUUUGUAAGGGAAUAAAGUGUAGUACGUGUACUAUUUUGCAUGUACCUUACGAAUAAGGAUCGGCUAACUCCGUGCCAGCAGCCGCGGUAAUACGGAGGAUCCGAGCGUUAUCCGGAUUUAUUGGGUUUAAAGGGUGCGCAGGCGGGAGAUUAAGUCGGCGGUGAAAUUUUGCAGCUCAACUGUAAAAGUGCCUUCGAAACUGGUUUUCUUGAGUGUGGAUGAAGUAGGCGGAAUUUGUGGUGUAGCGGUGAAAUGCAUAGAUAUCACGAGGAACUCCGAUUGCGCAGGCAGCUUACUAAACCAUAACUGACGCUCAGGCACGAAGGCGUGGGGAUCAAACAGGAUUAGAUACCCUGGUAGUC